AGAGCGAACGCUGGCGGCAGGCCUAACACAUGCAAGUCGAGCGCCCCGCAAGGGGAGCGGCAGACGGGAGAGUAACACGUGGGAACGUACCCUUCAGUUCGGAACAACCCAGGGAAACUUGGGCUAAUACCGAAUACGUCCGUAAGGAGAAAGAUUUAUCGCUGAGGGAUCGGCCCGCGUCUGAUUAGCUUGUUGGUGAGGUAACGGCUCACCAAGGCGACGAUCAGUAGCUGGUCUGAGAGGAUGAUCAGCCUCACUGGGACUGAGACACGGCCCAGACUCCUACGGGAGGCAGCAGUGGGGAAUAUUGGACAAUGGGCGCAAGCCUGAUCCAGCCAUGCCGCGUGGGUGAUGAAGGCCCUAGGGUUGUAAAGCCCUUUCGGCGGGGAAGAUAAUGACGGUACCCGCAGAAGAAGCCCCGGCUAACUUCGUGCCAGCAGCCGC
rnacentral:rRNA from 1 species